GAUGAACGCUGGCGGCGUGCCUAAUACAUGCAAGUCGAGCGAACAGAUAAGGAGCUUGCUCCUUUGACGUUAGCGGCGGACGGGUGAGUAACACGUGGGUAACCUACCUAUAAGACUGGGAUAACUUCGGGAAACCGGAGCUAAUACCGGAUAACAUUUGGAACCGCAUGGUUCUAAAGUGAAAGAUGGUUUUGCUAUCACUUAUAGAUGGACCCGCGCCGUAUUAGCUAGUUGGUAAGGUAACGGCUUACCAAGGCGACGAUACGUAGCCGACCUGAGAGGGUGAUCGGCCACACUGGAACUGAGACACGGUCCAGACUCCUACGGGAGGCAGCAGUAGGGAAUCUUCCGCAAUGGGCGAAAGCCUGACGGAGCAACGCCGCGUGAGUGAUGAAGGGUUUCGGCUCGUAAAACUCUGUUAUUAGGGAAGAACAAAUGUGUAAGUAACUGUGCACGUCUUGACGGUACCUAAUCAGAAAGCCACGGCUAACUACGUGCCAGCCGCCGCCGUAACAC
rnacentral:rRNA from 1 species